rnacentral:rRNA from 1 species
GCGGACGGGUGAGUAACACGUUGGGUAACCUGCCUGUAAGACUGGGAUAACUCCGGGAAACCGGAGCUAAUACCGGAUAGUUCCUUGAACCGCAUGGUUCAAGGAUGAAAGACGGUUUCGGCUGUCACUUACAGAUGGACCCGCGGCGCAUUAGCUAGUUGGUGGGGUAAUGGCUCACCAAGGCGACGAUGCGUAGCCGACCUGAGAGGGUGAUCGGCCACACUGGGACUGAGACACGGCCCAGACUCCUACGGGAGGCAGCAGUAGGGAAUCUUCCGCAAUGGACGAAAGUCUGACGGAGCAACGCCGCGUGAGUGAUGAAGGUUUUCGGAUCGUAAAGCUCUGUUGUUAGGGAAGAACAAGUGCGAGAGUAACUGCUCGCACCUUGACGGUACCUAACCAGAAAGCCACGGCUAACUACGUGCCAGCAGCCGCGGUAAUACGUAGGUGGCAAGCGUUGUCCGGAAUUAUUGGGCGUAAAGGGCUCGCAGGCGGUUUCUUAAGUCUGAUGUGAAAGCCCCCGGCUCAACCGGGGAGGGUCAUUGGAAACUGGGAAACUUGAGUGCAGAAGAGGAGAGUGGAAUUCCACGUGUAGCGGUGAAAUGCGUAGAGAUGUGGAGGAACACCAGUGGCGAAGGCGACUCUCUGGUCUGUAACUGACGCUGAGGAGCGAAAGCGUGGGGAGCGAACAGGAUUAGAUACCCUGGUAGUCCACGCCGUAAACGAUGAGUGCUAAGUGUUAGGGGGUUUCCGCCCCUUAGUGCUGCAGCUAACGCAUUAAGCACUCCGCCUGGGGAGUACGGUCGCAAGACUGAAACUCAAAGGAAUUGACGGGGGCCCGCACAAGCGGUGGAGCAUGUGGUUUAAUUCGAAGCAACGCGAAGAACCUUACCAGGUCUUGACAUCCUCUGACAACCCUAGAGAUAGGGCUUUCCCUUCGGGGACAGAGUGACAGGUGGUGCAUGGUUGUCGUCAGCUCGUGUCGUGAGAUGUUGGGUUAAGUCCCGCAACGAGCGCAACCCUUGAUCUUAGUUGCCAGCAUUCAGUUGGGCACUCUAAGGUGACUGCCGGUGACAAACCGGAGGAAGGUGGGGAUGACGUCAAAUCAUCAUGCCCCUUAUGACCUGGGCUACACACGUGCUACAAUGGACAGAACAAAGGGCUGCAAGACCGCAAGGUUUAGCCAAUCCCAUAAAUCUGUUCUCAGUUCGGAUCGCAGUCUGCAACUCG